UGGGGAAUAUUGCACAAUGGGCGAAAGCCUGAUGCAGCGACGCCGCGUGAGGGAUGACGGCCUUCGGGUUGUAAACCUCUUUCAGCAGGGAAGAAGCGAAAGUGACGGUACCUGCAGAAGAAGCGCCGGCUAACUACGUGCCAGCAGCCGCGGUAAUACGUAGGGCGCAAGCGUUGUCCGGAAUUAUUGGGCGUAAAGAGCUCGUAGGCGGUUAGUCGCGUCUGCUGUGAAAACUCGAGGCUCAACCUCGGGCUUGCAGUGGGUACGGGCUGACUAGAGUGCGGUAGGGGUGACUGGAAUUCCUGGUGUAGCGGUGGAAUGCGCAGAUAUCAGGAGGAACACCGAUGGCGAAGGCAGGUCACUGGGCCGCAACUGACGCUGAGGAGCGAAAGCAUGGGGAGCGAACAGGAUUAGAUACCCUGGUAGUCCAUGCCGUAAACGUUGGGCACUAGGUGUGGGGUCCAUUCCACGGAUUCCGUGCCGCAGCAAACGCAUUAAGUGCCCCGCCUGGGGAGUACGGCCGCAAGGCUAAAACUCAAAUGAAUUGACGGGGUCAUAGCUGUUUCCU
rnacentral:rRNA from 1 species